UUAAUAUUAAAUGUCAUUAUUUAAUAUGUUUAUGAAUUGUUUAAAUGUUUAUGUAAAUGCUGCGUGACUUUAAAGUGUCCAUUACCGAGCCCCAUUCAAGCACUGCAGCAGAGAGCGUUGUCAUGGAAACGGAGCAACGACACGACACCUGACCGUCAACAGCACUUCUCUCAUGCGGCAGUUUUCACUAAUUUCAGGAUUGACAAAAUUACCCCUACAACAGAAGAAAAGAGCCAAGAUGAAGGGAGCUAAUCACAGAGCUGGAGGAAACACAGAUUUUGGAUCGUCCUCUACUCACUCUACCACUUUGUUUUUCCUUGCCAGACUUCAUUCAAGGAUAAGAAAGAAGCCUGCUACAAGAGAGACAGCGGAAGGGAGCCUCAAAGACAUUUUUAUUAGGAUCUGCUAAUCAUGAGGGGGCAGACAAAAGAACCUGCAUUUUCCUUCAGCUUAAUAUCAGGGGUCGCCACAGCGUAAGGAACUGGAUAUUACUUUGGCAUAUGUUUUACAUAGCCUUCCAGCUGCAACCCAGCACUGUGAAACACCCAUACACUCUCGUAUUGACAGACACUUCUACACUAUGUUCAAAUUCACCUAUAGCACAAGUGUUUGGACUGUGGUGGAAACCCACACCAAAACAGGGAGAACAUGCAAACUCCACACAGAAAUGCCAGCGGACCCAGCCGGGACUCAUACCAGCAACCUUUUUGCUGUGAGGUGACAGUCUGAGCCACUGUGCUGCCCCAGUGUAGUUAUUAAUAACCUCCAGAUGUUUUACAGUUUGAUUUUGUAAUAAUAAUGCACGUUUAGAUUUAUUGUAAUAUGUUAAUAUUUAUUCGCAAUGUAAUUUAUUCUUAUGUUAUUUAUAAUAACGUUAAAUGUCAUAAGAAUGUUAUAAUUUAAUAUAAUAUUAUAAUAAAUAAUUAUAAUAAUGUUAAAAUAUAAACAAUACAAUUUUUUUUAAUAGUUUAUUUUUAUAAUGAGAAGUCUCAAAAUUUGUCUUUAUUAUAGAAAA